GGGGAGCAGCCCAGAGCCUGAAUCAGUGUGUGUGUUAGUGGAAGCGUCUGGAAAGGCGCGCGAUACAGGGUGACAGCCCCGUACACAAAAAUGCACAUGCUGUGAGCUCGAUGAGUAGGGCGGGACACGUGGUAUCCUGUCUGAAUAUGGGGGGACCAUCCUCCAAGGCUAAAUACUCCUGACUGACCGAUAGUGAACCAGUACCGUGAGGGAAAGGCGAAAAGAACCCCGGCGAGGGGAGUGAAAAAGAACCUGAAACCGUGUACGUACAAGCAGUGGGAGCCUCUUUUAUGGGGUGACUGCGUACCUUUUGUAUAAUGGGUCAGCGACUUAUAUUCUGUAGCAAGGUUAACCGAAUAGGGGAGCCGAAGGGAAACCGAGUCUUAACUGGGCGUUAAGUUGCAGGGUAUAGACCCGAAACCCGGUGAUCUAGCCAUGGGCAGGUUGAAGGUUGGGUAACACUAACUGGAGGACCGAACCGACUAAUGUUGAAAAAUUAGCGGAUGACUUGUGGCUGGGGGUGAAAGGCCAAUCAAACCGGGAGAUAGCUGGUUCUCCCCGAAAGCUAUUUAGGUAGCGCCUCGUGAAUUCAUCUCCGGGGGUAGAGCACUGUUUCGGCAAGGGGGUCAUCCCGACUUACCAACCCGAUGCAAACUGCGAAUACCGGAGAAUGUUAUCACGGGAGACACACGGCGGGUGCUAACGUCCGUCGUGAAGAGGGAAACAACCCAGACCGCCAGCUAAGGUCCCAAAGUCAUGGUUAAGUGGGAAACGAUGUGGGAAGGCCCAGACAGCCAGGAUGUUGGCUUAGAAGCAGCCAUCAUUUAAAGAAAGCGUAAUAGCUCACUGGUCGAGUCGGCCUGCGCGGAAGAUGUAACGGGGCUAAACCAUGCACCGAAGCUGCGGCAGCGACGCUUAUGCGUUGUUGGGUAGGGGAGCGUUCUGUAAGCCUGUGAAGGUGUGCUGUGAGGCAUGCUGGAGGUAUCAGAAGUGCGAAUGCUGACAUAAGUAACGAUAAAGCGGGUGAAAAGCCCGCUCGCCGGAAGACCAAGGGUUCCUGUCCAACGUUAAUCGGGGCAGGGUGAGUCGACCCCUAAGGCGAGGCCGAAAGGCGUAGUCGAUGGGAAACAGGUUAAUAUUCCUGUACUUGGUGUUACUGCGAAGGGGGGACGGAGAAGGCUAUGUUGGCCGGGCGACGGUUGUCCCGGUUUAAGCGUGUAGGCUGGUUUUCCAGGCAAAUCCGGAAAAUCAAGGCUGAGGCGUGAUGACGAGGCACUACGGUGCUGAAGCAACAAAUGCCCUGCUUCCAGGAAAAGCCUCUAAGCAUCAGGUAACAUCAAAUCGUACCCCAAACCGACACAGGUGGUCAGGUAGAGAAUACCAAGGCGCUUGAGAGAACUCGGGUGAAGGAACUAGGCAAAAUGGUGCCGUAACUUCGGGAGAAGGCACGCUGAUAUGUAGG
rnacentral:rRNA from 1 species